rnacentral:tRNA from 1 species
GGGGAUGUGGCUCAAGCGGUAGCGCGCUCGCCUGGCAUGCGAGGGGCCCGGGUUCGAUCCCCAGCACCA